GACGAACGCUGGCGGCGUGCUUAACACAUGCAAGUCGAACGCGAGCAGCAAUGCUCGAGUGGCGAACGGGUGAGUAAUACAUAAGUAACCUGCCCUAGACAGGGGGAUAACUGCUGGAAACGGCAGCUAAGACCGCAUAGGUAUGGACACUGCAUGGUGACCAUAUUAAAAGUGCCAAGGCACUGGUAGAGGAUGGACUUAUGGCGCAUUAGCUGGUUGGUGAGGUAACGGCUCACCAAGGCGACGAUGCGUAGCCGACCUGAGAGGGUGACCGGCCACAUUGGGACUGAGAUACGGCCCAG
rnacentral:rRNA from 1 species